rnacentral:rRNA from 1 species
CUGGCUCAGAACGAACGCUGGUGGCGUGUCUAUACAUGCAAGUCGAGCGAGGCAGCAAUGCCGAGCGGCGAACGGGUGAGUAACGCGUAAGCAAUCUGCCCCAUAUCAGGAAAUACCCGUGCCAACGCGCGGUUAAUGUCCAGGAGAGUGGCCUUCUGCAUGGAGGGUUGACUAGAGAUUUAUCGGUAUGGGAUGAGCUUGCGUCCGAUUAGCUAGUUGGCGGGCAACGGCCCACCAAGGCGACGAUCGGUAGCCGGCCUGAGAGGGUGAUCGGCCACAUUGGGACUGAGAUACGGCCCAGACUCCUACGGGAGGCAGCAGUAGGGAAUAUUGCACAAUGGGGGAAACCCUGAUGCAGCAACGCCACGUGUGGGAAGAAGCAUUUCGGUGUGUAAACCACUGUCAUGAGGGAAUAAGGCCCUUAUUCGUAAGGGACUUGAAUGUACCUUGAGAGGAAGCACCGGCAAACUUCGUGCCAGCCGCAGC